rnacentral:rRNA from 1 species
AAUGAACGCUAGCUACAGGCUUAACACAUGCAAGUCGAGGGGUAACGAGAGGAAAGCUUGCGUUCCUUGUCGACGACCGGCGCACGGGUGAGUAACGCGUAUCGAACCUGCCCCCAACUAGGGAAUAACCUUGCGAAAGUAAGACUAAUACCCUAUAAUUUCCUCAGAUGUCAUCUGACGAGGAAUAAAGAUUUAUCGGUUGUGGAUGGGGAUGCGUCUGAUUAGCUUGUUGGCGGGGGCACGGCCCACCAAGGCAACGAUCAGUAGGGGGUCUGAGAGGAAGGGCCCCCACAUUGGAACUGAGACACGGACUAAAAUCCUACGGGAGGCAGCAGUGAGGAAUAUUGGUCAAUGGGCGGAAGCCUGAACCAGCCAAGUAGCGUGCAGGAUGCCGGCCCUAUGGGUUGUAAACUGCUUUUAUCCAGGAAUAAAGUUAGCCAAGUGUGGUUAUUUGUAGGUACUGUAUGAAUAAGGACCGGCUAAUUCCGUGCCAGCCGCCGCUGUAA